AGUCGUAUGCGUGGAAGGUACCGAAAGAGAUACUGAAGCUCUUGCUCUGGUCGAGUCGAGAAUUUGUGACAUUGAUUAUAUUCCAGAAUUAAAUGCUACGAAUUACAUAACUGAUUCCAAUAGUACUGAAGUGAAGACUGGGCAGUUGUAUAAGGACAAAGGUACACUCGUUGCUGUAAUGGCUAAAUAUAAAAUAAAGAACAACUUCAAUUUUCGAGUGAAAAGAUCGGAUAAGAAAAGGCCUGUAGUUGUAGUGGACGCUGCACAUCUUGGCGGGGCUUACAAGGGUACUUUUGUAUCAGCAAGCACACUCGAUGGUGCAGGAUGCAUAUUGCCAUUGGCAUAUGGUGUUGUAGACACUGAAAAUGACUGUUCGUGGACAUGG